rnacentral:lncRNA from 1 species
AACAAAAACAAAAAGCGAAAAGUGAAAAAUAUAUAUAAGAAUGAGCAAAGCAAUUGCAAGAAAAGCUUUUGUACACCCUUAUUAUUGCUCUCCCCCAAACCAUCUGAAAUUUGUCCAAAUGCACAUGUUCUCACAAGGUAAAGAUUAAAAACUGUACAUAUGUUCAUUUUUUAUGACCUAAGAGGCCCUAAGAACCUUAAACUGAUCAGACUCAACCCGAACUCGACCUGACUACACUCUUCAGACAAAAUCGGUUCAAUGCGACCGGCGCGACGAGCCCCGGCCCAGCCAAACAGAGACCCUUCCAAAGGGUUGCUUACCCUUGAAAAUAUUGGUGUUAUUGCUACUGUGAGAUGAUAUCAUCUCCGAUUGCUGCAGUAUUUCCCACAUUACCUGCACAUCCUGAUACUCGCAAGUUUGAACGUCGUUGUGAAGCUUUAGAAUCCCACUACCUGCGACAAUUACAUGACAAAUGAGAAAGAUGGUUAGUUUCCAUGCAAAAAAAGUAAUUAAAAUUCUAUUGAGUCAACUUUUUUUUUUUUUUUUUUUUUUUUUUUUUUUUUUUUUUUUUGUAACUCCAAACGUUGAAUCGAAUCGUUGUUACUUCACUGCUUUAAGAUGAAAAUGAAAUCAAUUGAGUUGUAAUUUGAACACCGAUGGUUGUUGGGACCUGGAUCAGUUAUUAGGGAUCUAAAUAGUUGCAUUGUUUUGUUUCAAAUUUAGAAUUAAAAUUCAAAGUAGGAUCUAAAUGGUUAUGCUGAUCGUUUGAUUAUGGAUUCUGACUUGGGUCUACUAAUAUCGAAAAUGAUAAAAAAAAAAAAAAGAAAAGAAAAGAAAAUGGAGAUGAAUAUGGUGGGAAUGUAACAUUCAAAGAUGACACAUGUUUGGGACUUUUGGUAGCUGCCACUUGGAGCCCAAAUCGUCACUCUCUGCAUUAUAACAUUUUUAACUUUUUAGUAAACAUUAUCUUUAUCAGAACUUACAAAUAUAUAUAUAUAUAUAUAUAUAUAUAUAUAUAUAUAUAGAGAGAGAGAGAGAGAGAACAUUUUGCUAGACUAUUAUCGAUAGUAAAUAUCUUAAUUUACUAUCAAUUUAUUUUCAAUAGUAGAGUUUUUAAAUCAACGAUAGAUAUUAUUGAAUAUGAUCUAGAUCCUUUAAACUAUCUAAAAAUCAAAUUCCAUGCUUUCCGAUAUUAUUCUUUUGUCCAUCAUGUGGACAUAAAAUAAAUGGUUGAAAAUAAACGUACACUCCUUAAAAAAGUAAUGAUACAAUUUUCAUAUUCAAAAUCUAGAGUCAACAUCUUAUUUUAAAUACUUUAAAAAUUAUUUUAAUAAAACUUCAGCUAAUUUAGACUUUUAUAUAUCGUUAAAUGAGCAAAUGCACCUUAUCGAUUAUUAAAAUUAUUAAAUUUUGUACCCUUUAAUCGUUCGGUUAGUGAUGUUGAAAAAGUAUAAAAUUUCAUUUCUACAAAAUUUAAAUGGUCUAAAGCAUGUUCAAAUAUGCCAAUUAUCAAUUUGAAACUUUAUCAUAAAAAAUAAAUGCUUAGUAAAUUAAGUUGUUCUCUCUCUCUCUCUCUCUCUCUCUCUAUAUAUAUAUAUAUUAUAUUUAUUAAAUGUAAAGAGAUAUAUAAUCAAGGCACCGUAGAAAUUAAGUGGAGGAGGGUUUAUAAUACAACUCAUCUGAACCUUAAUGCGAUAUGCGAAAACGAUAUAAAAUGCUUUGUAUCUCCACAAACUUCGCCUACGUAUUGAUGCAAUAUUGGUUUUAUUCCAGAGCAUCUUAAAUUAUUUUGCAUGGACUAAUUAGAAUUCCCCGCAUCAUAUGUACAAACACACCGACCAUAGCAGCAUAGAAUUAUUGUCCGGACCCACCACUCAAUGAUAAAAAGUAAAAUCAUAAAAAAACAAACCAGAAAAGGUUAAAAAAAGAAAAAAAGAAAAAAAACUUCUUUAUUAGAAAUUUCUUAAUCAAAGAUUAUUGUCCUUAGUUGUUAAAACCAAGUUUAAUUAAAAUUCCCUUUUAAUUACUUGCUAACAUUUCCAAACAAAUCUCCAGUACCAGGUCAGAGAAUUCUAAAGGAAAGAGAAUGUGCAUGCGGAACGCGUGCGUAGAAAAAUUCUAUUACUUAGCCGACUUAUGAAAUUGUCGGUAUCAGUUGAGAUCGAUCAUGCUUUUCUGAAGAGAAGCACGAUAAAAUUACGUUUUCUACGUGAGCAGAAAUUUCUUACACACUAUGAAUUCAGAAGAAAUGAAGUAAAGAGAGAGAGGCGGUAAUCUCACCGUCUUUUCUGCUCCUGACCCUCGCGGCGACGGCGACCAGCGCCCGCUUCACCGGCAGCACCAGCACCUUCCUCCACCACUCCAUCCCCUCCUUCCCCUCCCUCCCUUAAUUAAUGCCCCCCUCCACUUCAACGCAUGGAUAUAUUAAUAAGGCAGAGAUGUAUAUAUGUAUGUGUAUGUUAUCAAUGCGAAGGUAAUAAUUAAUACUUGGAGAGAGAGAGAGAGAGAGAGAGAGAGAGAGAGAGAGAGAGAGAGAGAGAGAGAGGAGGCGAGAGAAGAGAAAACGAGGAGUGGGGGUGUUAAAAAUACUCGGGGAUGCCACCUACCCACCCCGAGAACUGUCCACGUUGCCUCGUCCCUCGCGCCAGGCGCCUCUUCCUCCUCGCUCCUCUCCUU